UACAGAGGGUGCAAGCGUUAAUCGGAAUUACUGGGCGUAAAGGGUGCGUAGGUGGUUGAAUAAGUUAGGUGUGAAAGCCCCGGGCUCAACCUGGGAAUGGCGCCUAAUACUGUUUAGCUAGAGUACUGUAGAGGAAGGUGGAAUUUCCGGUGUAGCGGUGAAAUGCGUAGAUAUCGGAAGGAACAUCAGUGGCGAAGGCGACUUUCUGGACAGCUACUGACACUGAGGCACGAGAGCAUGGGUAGCAAACAGG
rnacentral:rRNA from 1 species